UACGGGGGGAGCAAGCGUUGUUCGGAUUUACUGGGCGUAAAGGGCGCGUAGGCGGCGUGACAAGUCACUUGUGAAAUCUCCGGGCUUAACUCGGAACGGUCAAGUGAUACUGUCGUGCUAGAGUACAGAAGGGGCAACUGGAAUUCUCGGUGUAGCGGUGAAAUGCGUAGAGAUGUGGAGGAACACCGAUGGCGAAGGCAGCCCCCUGGGUCAAGAUUGACGCUCAUGCACGAAAGCGUGGGGAGCAAACAGG
rnacentral:rRNA from 1 species